rnacentral:misc_RNA from 1 species
UCCCGCUUAUCACGGGCAGUUUCCUUAGAGUUCCCAGCAUUACCUGAUGGCAACUAAGGACGAGGGUUGCGCUCGUUGCGGGACUUAACCCAACAUCUCACGACACGAGCUGACGACAGCCAUGCAGCACCUGUGUUCCAGCCACCCUAGGUGAAGGAAUUCAUCUCUGGAAUCCAAACUGGACAUGUCAAGGCCUGGUAAGGUUCUUCGCGUUGCCUCGAAUUAAACCACAUGCUCCACCGCUUGUGCGGGUCCCCGUCAAUUUCUUUGAGUUUUAACCUUGCGACCGUACUCCCCAGGCGGAUGACUUCACGCGUUAGCUGCGUUACUAAGGGAUUUAACUCCCCCAACAACUAGUCAUCAUCGUUUAGGGCGUGGACUAC